UCUCCCAUUUGUUUCUAAGCAAACGUCAACUCAUUCUAGAUUUAGAUCUAACACUCAGUUGAUCUUCCUGAUAUUCUAGAAGUUAGACUGUUACACUGUUUGAUUUCAUUUUGAGAAGCGAGACAUUAAUCUAAUGACCUCAGUUGGAAUGUUAUCAGGUUAUUAGAUUAUAUACAAACAGUCCAUGCAUUUCCUUUAAAUGGAUUCAUGAUACAACAAUUAUGGACCCAUUUAAAAGAGCAUUUCUCUCCUGUUGUGGAGACACUGCCUCCAUCAAUUUCAGUCUGCUAACAAUGCCAGAAAAAUUGGAUAUUCAUUUUUCCAGUUUUUGGCUUUGGGAAGCGGCAGUGAUGCUAGUUUUAGAUCCACUUCUCAAGCCAAUGAUUGGUCAGUUUGAAAGAAAGUACAAGUACCUGAGUAAGCAUCUGGGUCAGUACAACUCUUUCAUGCUGUAUUGUUUGACAUCAUACUUGUUCAGUUUUUGGAUGUUUUAUAGUUACCACAGGGCUCUUGCUGAACAGCCUUACAGUCUGAAGCUGACAGAGAACAAAAUCUUGAUCUUGGGCUACAUCUUUCUGCUUGGUGGCUUGGCUGGGAAAAUACACUCCUACAAGAAGUAUGGAGCUUUGGUUAUCAUGGGAGGUCACUACUUUGAUCUUUAUAGCUACCCUUCCUCAAAAUUAAGAUACGACCCUUAUUACCAUCCUUCUGGCACUGCAACCCUAGCUGCUUUGUUUGGAUUAGCUCUAGUUGUUUAAGCGUCAAUGAGGAACUGUGGCUAAGAACAAAGCAGCAGCCAAUUAAAGAAGAUUUCCUUCUGGCCACACCCUUCACAAUCCUGUUUCCACAAUCCCAUGUCAAGCCCUGACCUCAAUCUCCCAAGAGGAAAAAAUGGCCCAGAAAUACACGGUGCCAAGAUUUGGAGGCUGAUGUCAAGCAGGUGGUCAAGACAUGGGCUAGUUCUAGAGUCUGCCCCAGAAUCAAAACAUCUGGAUUAAGCUGGUUGAUGACUUAAGCCUGCUGGAUAUUUUCCUAAAAAAAAAUACAAUAGGGUUGUUUCCAAAACCUCUGACCUACUUUAAAAUAAGUCAUGUGGUUAUGGUCUUAUACAUGACAAUAAUGGCAAUGUCUUCUUAUGAUUAUGAUAAGAUCUAGAUCUAGUACUAGCCAAGAUCUAGAUCUAGCACUAGCCUAGAUCUAGUAGAUCUACUAAAUAAUCAUAUCAAUUUGGGAAUUAUUGCAACUUAUCUUUUUAUUUCUUAAAGAUGUCUAGAGCAACAUAAUUUUCAUAUUCCAAUUACAAUGAAAUCAAUGAGGCCAUUAAUGUAAACCAUGUGACAAGCAAGAAAUACAGAGCAACACCAUAAACCAAAUUUUUCUGAAUUAUAUAAUUUUGAUUUAAAAAAACAAACUUCAAUUUCGAACCAAAAACUUAUGGAUAUAACAUAUUAUAAAUUAUGAUAUGCACUGCAUCUACUACCAAAGGAAUAGUUGCAUUAUGAAACCAAAAUUGUUACUUUUUAAUAGAUAUUUGUGCCUCUAAAUGUUUUGUAUUUCUGUAAGCAGUCGAGCCAGCCUGGCAGGCCUCCUGUUGCAUCCACUUUGUAUUGUGUCUUACAUGCUGUCAUUUUCCUUUGAGAACAAGCGGCAGAAGAAAUCCCUUUGAAACUUUGACUGCUGAGUUGAGUUCAAAUCUUUGAUCUGAAUUUUAUAAUGUUGACCUCCUGUUAUGAAAUAAUUUGAUAUUGUUUGAUUUGUUGCUGUUGAAUCUACGGGUGAACAUUUUGUUGUUAUUUUUAAAUUGAACUCGCUUUUUGUUCAAUUAAAAAAAAAAUUCAUGUU